rfam:Bombyx mori DNA, contig: Bm_scaf63_contig29508, strain: p50T/Dazao, build 2, whole genome shotgun sequence.
UUAAUUCAAAUUUGUAUGGAGUCGGAACGUUUGCCUACGUUUGCCGCUAAGGGUGCUGAUUCGACUCCAUAAAAAUUUGAGUUA